UUCAGACCUGGUAUGCUGGAACUCCCACC
rnacentral:piRNA from 1 species